UAACAGUUCAGCAAAACGUGCUAUAACAAUCUGCUGAUUAAUGUAGAAUUUUUUUAUAGUGAGGGUUUCGAAAAAGGAAGAGAUUAGGUUCCGAUCUAUUUGAGACAAAGCUAUGGCAGAGGAGCACUUCGACGUUCUGACCAAAUACGGCUAGAAGACAGAAGAGAUUACAGAGAUAGGGUUUCAAAAAAGGAAGACAGGAGGUUCCGAUCUAUUUGAGAUAAAGCAAUGGCAGAGGAGCACUUCGACAUUCUGACCAAAUACGUCGAGAAAACCGGUCAGAGAUUCACCGAGUUGAAGAUUACCAUCGUGCAGUUCAUAUCUUGAUAUUUAUGGAGACUACUAAAGAACUGCUUCUCCAACUCCGUCUGAUGAUAAAGAAGAUUCUCGGCAUGGACAGUGCGACACUUCAAGUGCUGGUCAUAUCUCAGUCGAUGAUCCAUCUCUUAUAUCGGCUCAGUAAGUAAAUCUCAUCCUACAAUUCUUUUUACCUCUUGUAUCCUUUUUGGUAACUUGUGUCAAAAACUUUUUUGUUGAUUUGUGUUAAAGUUCAGAGCUUUUUUGCUAAUUUUGUCAAAGUUUACAGCUUUGUUUAUUAGUCUGUGUCAAUGUUUUGAAUUUGUGCAAACUUGAUCCUUUAGUGUGUCAUUCGCAUCAUCAAAUUUUUGUCUUUUGAUAGAAAUCUGAACUUUCAUAUUUAGUCCGGCCAAGAUGAAAAAAGACAUGUGAUUUCAGUUUUUUCAUCAGAAUCUUAUUGAAAGUUUAUUUACCUUUGUGUCCGGAUACGUGUAAUAGGAAACGGUUAAGAUAAACAUUAUACGGCCAAACAAUGUUAAUACCAACCCAAUCUCAUGUA